rnacentral:piRNA from 1 species
UGAGAAAGGAAGCAGCAAGGUCUGCUCAAG